rnacentral:rRNA from 1 species
UACGUAGGGGGCAAGCGUUGUCCGGAUUUAUUGGGCGUAAAGAGCGUGUAGGCGGCCUGACAGGUCUGCUGUGAAAACUCGAGGCUCAACCUCGAGAUGUCGGCGGAAACCGUCUGGCUAGAGUCCGGAAGAGGAGAGUGGAAUUCCUGGUGUAGCGGUGAAAUGCGCAGAUAUCAGGAAGAACACCUAUGGCGAAGGCGGCUCUCUGGGACGGUACUGACGCUGAGACGCGAAAGCGUGGGGAGCGAACAGG